rnacentral:lncRNA from 1 species
AGCCCUGGCCCAUCAUGUAGCUGCAGCACAGCCUUCCCUACCAUUGCAAUUGGAAAAAAUCACUUUCCAAUCUGUUUUGCAAGGUGUGCAUUUCCACUUUGAUUUCCUGAAAGAUCAUCUGCUGCAUCGAUCAAGAAAAACUUCACUUGCAUGAAGGCUGCGCGUCUGCAGCUUGAAUCUUUAUUGCAAAACUAGCUACAGAAGAGAGGCAAGGCAAAGUCUUUUGUGCUCCCCUCCCCCAUCAAAGGAAAGGGGAAAAUGUCUCAGUCAAAAGGCAGGAAACGGAAUCCUGGGCUGAAGAUUCCAAAAGAAGCAUUUGAACAGCCUCAGACCAGUUCAGCACCUCCUCGGGAUUUAGAUUCCAAGGCUUGCAUCUCAAUUGGCGAUAAGAAUUUUGAAGUGAAAGCUGAUGACUUGGAGCCUAUAGCAGAACUAGGACGAGGUGCAUAUGGGGUGGUGGAGAAGAUGCGACACAUGCCUAGUGGGCAGAUCAUGGCAGUGAAGCGAAUCCGAGCAACUGUGAAUAGCCAGGAACAGAAGAGGCUACUCAUGGACCUGGAUAUCUCCAUGAGAACAGUGGAUUGCCCCUUCACAGUCACCUUUUAUGGUGCACUCUUUCGGGAGGGUGAUGUGUGGAUCUGUAUGGAACUCAUGGAUACCUCACUGGACAAGUUCUACAAACAAGUCAUCGAUAAGGGCCUAACGAUCCCAGAGGACAUCUUAGGAAAAAUUGCAGUUUCUAUUGUAAAAGCCUUAGAACAUUUACACAGUAAACUUUCUGUCAUUCAUCGAGAUGUCAAGCCAUCUAAUGUGUUGAUCAAUACACUGGGCCAAGUGAAGAUGUGUGAUUUUGGUAUUAGUGGUUAUCUUGUGGAUUCUGUGGCCAAAACUAUGGAUGCAGGAUGCAAGCCUUACAUGGCUCCUGAAAGAAUAAACCCAGAACUAAACCAGAAGGGAUACAAUGUGAAAUCUGAUAUUUGGAGCCUGGGCAUCACAAUGAUUGAACUGGCAAUCCUUCGGUUCCCCUAUGAUUCCUGGGGGACACCAUUUCAGCAACUCAAACAGGUAGUGGAAGAACCAUCACCUCAAUUACCAGCAGACAAGUUCUCAGCAGAGUUUGUUGACUUUACCUCACAGUGCUUGAAGAAGAAUUCCAAAGAACGGCCAACAUACGCAGAACUUAUGCAACAUCAGUUUUUCACUCUGCAUGAAUCCAAAGCAACAGAUGCAGCAUCUUUUGUAAAACUGAUUCUUGGAGACUAAAAACCAUUGGACUCAAUCACUUGGCCCUCCUGUGGAUUGGUGGGUUUAGGGGAUGGAGCUUCUUCACUAAAGCAUCAAUAGAAACUUGGCAUUCAGAUGAUGCUGAUGCUUAUUUUUUUAACCUUGCCUCUCAAAAGGUUGUUUGUUUAUUUUGUUGUUGUUGUUGUUUAUUUUUUUUCCCAAAGGGGUCUUGGAAUCCAUAGUGUAUAGAAUGAACUGUUUAGUCAGAUGAAAUAUAAUAAGGCUCAGACUUUACAACUUUGAACAGGUGAUUAAAUAUUUAAUGACAUGUCACAAGACUCCUUAACCUUUUAAGCCUUUUCCUGUUCCUCUCCAAGGAGAAUACAUUUGUCUGGGUUAAUAGGUGCUAUGGUAGUUAUGAAGUCCUAUGUAGAUUUAUAUUUUGUUCUUCCUAUUGUUUUAAUAUUUAUGCUUGAUUUGAAUAGAUUUUGUUUUAUAUGAGGGAGACCUUAUGAAAGAGGAGGCUAUGAUGUCAAUAUUCAUAAGGCUUUACAAGGGAAAAAGUUAAAGAACCUUUGGUCUCUAAAAGGAACAAUUUAAUAUGCAUCCUUAAGAACUUCAAUAACAACAUUUUCUUCCCAAGAGCCUAUUCCAACUGCUGCUGCUGCUGCUACCAUCUUCCCAAACACCUUAUUCAAUACUGGGUAUUCAUUAACUAUUCUGUGUGAUAUGGUAAAGUAUCCCAGUACUACCUUGUCCAGUUUUGGAAGAAGUAAAAUCAAUUUAUCGUGGCUCAAAGUGGAGACAUAGCUUGCUUCUCGUGGCAUUUAUGACACUUUUAACUUGAGUGUGAUAUAUAUCUACCCUCCUACAGAAGGAGGGCAUAUGUGUAUGUGUCUGUAUGUGUAUGUAUGUGUGUGUAUAUUUGUUUUUGGUAGGCAGUGAGCCUUGCCAAGUAUCUUCUAUUUAUAUUAUUCUGUGUUCAGUAAGAAUGAUUGCUUAUCAGUGUUGUCUUGGGAGCUGGAGAGGGAUGUUAUAU